GCCUGGGUGACUCAGUUGGUUAAGUGUGGGACUUCAGCUUAGGUCUUGAUCUCAAGGCUUGUGGGUUCGAGCCCUGCCUUGGGCU
rnacentral:tRNA from 1 species